CGGAGGGUGCAAGCGUUAUCCGGGAUUUACUGGGUUUAAAGGGUGUGUAGGCGGGCUUUUAAGUCAGUGGUGAAAUCUCCGGGCUCAACCUGGAAACUGCCAUUGAUACUAUUAGUCUUGAAUUCUGUUGAGGUAGGCGGAAUAAGUCAUGUAGCGGUGAAAUGCAUAGAUAUGACUUAGAACACCAAUUGCGAAGGCAGCUUACUAAGCAGAUAUUGACGCUGAGGCACGAAAGCGUGGGGAUCAAACAGGAUUAGAUACCCUGGUAGUCCACGCCCUAAACGAUGAUUACUCGACAUACGCGAUACACAGUGUGUGUCUGAGCGAAAGCAUUAAGUAAUCCACCUGGGAAGUACGACCGCAAGGUUG
rnacentral:rRNA from 1 species